UAAUAACAAGUAACCAUAAAAAUUAAAUCUUAAUUUUGUGUGGAUCAUUUCGGUUACAGUUUGUUUAUUUUUAUGAUUGGUGUUUCUUAAUACAUAACUAUUAUCAAUAGUAUAUCAAUAACAAUUAUUGAAUGUUAAUUUGGCAAUUAUUUUAUGAAAAUGCUACGCACUAAAAUUCAUAUAGCUUUAAGCGCUAUUGGUACUCUGUUUGGCUUAUCGGCCUUUAUAUGUUUUUGCAUUGUUUAUGCAAAUGUUGAAGCAGGAAUGUGGGCGUUAUUAUCCGUCCACUGUUUUAUGGUGUUGGGGAGUCGGUUGUUCGCCGAAAUCGUGGUUGGCGCGGCCGUGGCCUUGAUACUCUUUUACAAUUGAAACUCCACCCGGACCCUCCCUGGAUGCCUCCCAAACUAGGACAAAUCCGGGGAAACCCAGACGGAUGGCAACCCUACUAUUAUGUAUACAUGCAUCACUAGCUCUUAUGCUACAUUUCCAUUAUUUAAAAGAAUCUCUUCACGUAAAUUUCUCAAGAAAGUCACUGCAAUACAUUGGUGAUUUUGGAAUGGUUGGAUUUGUUUCUGGAUUGGCCCUCACACUAUUCUAUGC